AGCACUUGCGCGUGCUUUUGACAACUGCUCGACAAAAGAAUAAAAGAGAGGUGCAAAAAUCAGUCCUCUUUUGCAACCCAGAACCCAUUGUUCAGUACGCGUUUUGAUACAUAAAAAAAAGGAAUGU